rnacentral:rRNA from 1 species
CAGCCGCCACGGUAAUACGAGGGGGCUAGCGUUGUUCGGAAUUACUGGGCGUAAAGCGCACGUAGGCGGAUAUUUAAGUCAGGGGUGAAAUCCCGCAGCUCAACUGCGGAACUGCCUUUGAUACUGGGUAUCUUGAGUAUGGAAGAGGUAAGUGGAAUUGCGAGUGUAGAGGUGAAAUUCGUAGAUAUUCGCAGGAACACCAGUGGCGAAGGCGGCUUACUGGUCCAUUACUGAUGCUGAGGUGCGAAAGCGUGGGGAGCAAACAGGAUUAGAUACCCGCGUAGUCCCUGUCUCUUAUACA